GGUGAUUGCAGGUAGUGAGGGAUAAUCCUCAAUUUACGCAUUGCAGAACUCAGAAAACGUCCUCCCAGCACAUGUGAAAAGGAAUGUGUGACGAGACCAAUCUCGCCACAUUGCAUUGGAGAAGCCUGGUUGCUCGCCUGUUGCCUUUGGAUUAUGGCCCCAUGUUAAAAGGCUUGAUUUUCCCCUACAAAGACAUGAAAGCAGGGUCAUUUGGUGCUUGCCCUGUUUGAGCGGUG